rnacentral:rRNA from 1 species
GGUUCAGAACGUCGUGAGACAGGUCGGUCCCUAUCCGUCGCGGGCGUUGGAAAUUUGAGAGGAGCUGGCCUUAGCACGCGAGGGCCGGGCUGGACUUAGCGCUGGGGUACCCGUUGUUCUGCCAGGGGCGUUGCUGGGUAGCUCUGUAGGGCAGGGAUAAACGCUGAAAGCAUCUCAGUGUGAAGCUCACCUCAAGAUGAGAUUUCCCAUUUCAUUCAGAAAGUAAGAUCCCUGCGAGAUGAUCAGGUAGAUAUGUCAGGAGAGGAAGUACAGCGAUGUAUGGAGCGGGCUGAUACUAAUCGAUCGAGGGCUUAACCAA